AUACUUACCUGGCAGGGGAGAUACCAUGAUCGCGAAGGUGGUUUUCCCAGGGCGAGGCUUAUCCAUUGCACUCUGGAUGUGCUGACCCCUGCGAUUUCCCCAAAUGUGGGAAACUCGACUGCAUAAUUUGUGGUACUGGGGGACUGUGUUUGUGCUCUUCCCUA
ensembl:snRNA U1 U1 spliceosomal RNA